rnacentral:rRNA from 1 species
UACAGAGGGGCAAGCGUUGUUCGGAAUUACUGGGCGUAAAGGGCGCGUAGGCGGCCUUCUAAGUCGAACGUGAAAUCCCUGGGCUCAACCCAGGAACUGCGUCCGAUACUGGAAGGCUUGAAUCCGGGAGAGGGAUGCGGAAUUCCAGGUGUAGCGGUGAAAUGCGUAGAUAUCUGGAGGAACACCGGUGGCGAAGGCGGCAUCCUGGACCGGCAUUGACGCUGAGGAGCGAAAGCGUGGGGAGCGAACAGG